GACGAACGCUGGCGGCGUGCUUAACACAUGCAAGUCGAACGGAAAGGCCCUGCUUUUGUGGGGUGCUCGAGUGGCGAACGGGUGAGUAACACGUGAGUAACCUGCCCCUGACUUUGGGAUAACUUCAGGAAACUGGGGCUAAUACCGGAUAGGAGCUCCUGCUGCAUGGUGGGGGUUGGAAAGUUUCGGCGGUUGGGGAUGGACUCGCGGCUUAUCAGCUUGUUUGUGGGGUAGUGGCUUACCAAGGCUUUGACGGGUAGCCGGCCUGAGAGGGUGACCGGCCACAUUGGGACUGAGAUACGGCCCAGACUCCUACGGGAGGCAGCAGUGGGGAAUAUUGCACAAUGGGCGGAAGCCUGAUGCAGCAACGCCGCGUGCGGGAUGACGGCCUUCGGGUUGUAAACCGCUUUCGCCUGUGACGAAGCGUGAGUGACGGUAAUGGGUAAAGAAGCACCGGCUAACUACGUG
rnacentral:rRNA from 1 species